rnacentral:tRNA from 1 species
UCGGCCCUGUGGCGCAACGGAUAACGCGUCUGACUACGGAUCAGAAGAUUCCAGGUUCGAAUCGGGUUUGAA